rnacentral:lncRNA from 1 species
UUACAUUGGAAAUUUUUUCAUUCAUAUUCAAGAAUUUCCACAUACUCAUUCAUAGUUCGAUCACUUCGUUCAUUCAUUCAAUCAUAAUCAUCCAUGUACAUGGCAUAUGAAUAACUUAUAAUCAAAAAGAAUCUCAUCACAUGAAUACUUGAAGUUUCUAAGAUGCAAAGAGAGAUCUUUGUCUUGCUACAAGAAACACCGAUUUUCAUUCAUUGCAAAUCAUAAGAUUAUCCAAAAAAAAAACAUACAUAAUUUACAAAAAUUGGCAUUUGGACCAAAUCCAACCAUCACCUUUCCCAUCCUGAAGAAAUUCACUCUUGUAAGCAUCAGUUUGCUGAUUUCCAUAUGAUUCCUGAAGAUCAGCUGCCUCAACCUGAAUCUCUACCCAAUUGUAAUCCACUGCCGUGUUCUAAACAACUUGAAGACAGUCACAUCAGAGACAUCAAACCAAUACAUCAAGAUCAUCAUUUAUAGAAAUCAUCAUAUUCAUCACUCGAUGUUACUUACUUUGAUAGGAUCCUUCUAACCUUCCAUUUCCAAAAAGAUAAGCCAUGGAUGAUUCAGCUUGUUGCUGUUACUUGCAUUUCUUUAGAUGAAGGACCUUCACCCAUUGAUAGCCGGCAUCUAAACAGACCUCAAACCUGCAGCAUCAAACGCAACGAGUUUUGCGUAAAUUCACCAAGUUUCGAUGUACUUAGAUGGCAUGAACAAAGAAGAAAAAGCUUACCGUAAGUGAAUGUCAGCAUGGUCACUACAGCAAACACAACUAUGGCCCUGCAAGAAUUAAACCAAAUCACAAUGCUCACUAUCAAAACCAGAUCAACAAGAAUCAGCACUUGGAAAAGAAGAAGAGCAAGAACAAGAUCAUUCAUUCAGUGUCAAGAAUUUUCUCUAGCAUGGUGGUUCUAUUUGGGAUGCAUGGUUCAGUUGUGCUUCAAAUCAAGUGGCUCAGGUUUUGUUGACACUGACAUUUUCUUUCUCUCAAUUUUGUAUGCUAUCUGGAAUCUUGAUUCAAAUAUCCCAUGGAAUUCUUGGAGGCUGGACUGCUUAUCUCAUCAGUGUCCUAUAUGUUGAGUACCGAACUGGAAAAGAAAAGGAAAAUGUUAAUUUCAAGAACCAUGUUAUUCAGUAGUUUGAAGUGCUUGAUGGGCUACUGGGUAAUUGGGUCUAGCUUUCAACUGUACUUUCUUUCUCUUUGGAUUUGUGAUUCAGCUUAUAGUUUGUGCAAGCAACAUCUACUACACAAAUGACAACUUGGACUUACAUAUUUGGAGUAUGUUGUGCGACAACUGUGUUCAUUCCAUCGUCUCAUAAUUACCGUAUUUGGUCUUUUCUUGGACUUGGAAUGAUCACUUACACUGCUUGGUAUCUUACUAUAGCGGCUAUUGUUCAUGGACAGGCAAAAAAUCUGACACACAGUGGUCCAAAAAGUUAGUGCUAUAUUUCACUGGAGCAACUAACAUACCAUACACAUUUGGUGGACAUGCUGCUACUGUAGAAAUUAUGCACGCCAUGUGGAAGCCUCAAAAGUUCAAACACAUCAGUAAAGAAGAAAAGAGAUUGAAGUUAGGGUAGCUGCUGCAAGACUGUUGCAGCAAAAGUCAGAGGCACCGCAGUCUCCGAAUGAAGGAGAAAGGGAUGACAGGGCAUUGGAUUUGUCUUCAGGGUCUAGUCAGAGGACAGGAAAUGUCUCAUGCUUGUGGGUUGGGUAAAUAUGCUGAUAAAAGUAGCAGUCCUAAGAAUUAUUUGCAAGAUAUCAGCCUCAGAUGAAUGAAACAGCAAAAGCAAUGCUAAGGAAGAUCAUGAAAUGAGAUACUCCUCGUGUAGAAUCUUUCAAUAAAAAUCUUGAUAAUUACUUGAUUGGUGACGGUACAUCCCCAUCCAAUGCAAUGGACAGUAGUAGCUCUUCAAACUGGAAUUCCAGAGUAACUCUUCGAGAAGUUCCUCCAUCUUCAGUGCAGUCUUCUCACAUUCCAACUGCAAUAAGAGCUGAAGGACACAUACCUUCUCCAGAUGCACCUAAAGUUGCAGCAUCUGAAAAUGUUAUGUUGGAUGGAGCACAUACAACACCGACUAUCCCGAAUUCUCAAGCAGAUGUUAUCAUCCCUGAUUUACCUCCACCACCAAACGAACCUAGACACAUGCUAUCAGCCACCAAAGUAGUGUCAAAAAGUCCUUUAGAUAUCCAGAUUACAGGAUCCUGUUCAAGCAAUGGAGCUGCCGAUUCAACAGCACUUCCUGCAGCAAACUCUUGGGCUAGGUGUGUAUCUGGCAGUCUUCCACAGGAUACUAGUUCAUCGUGUUCUAAUAAUCUGGCCAAGAAAAAGAUUGAAGCGUCUAAUGGCCCCCAAGCCCUUAUGCCGGGGUUUGCUUGCACUGAAAGGUCUAUUCUUGAUAUAAAGAAUCGGGAGAAGACAAAAAUAAUGUGCAUUCCAAUAGUGUAAUUGUACCUUCAGCAUUGAACAAACAUCACAUUGGCGGAAAUUCUCAAACAUCAGCUUUCGUAGGCCUUGAUCAAGAUAAGGCUGCACCCUCCACGAGUACAAGCUUCCUGGAGACUGGCAGACCUCACAAUUUGAAUACUAACAAGGCAGUUUCCAAUCGGGAUGUGCAUGGCUUAUGUUCUGAGUUAUCAUCCGUUAACAUCAACAAUAAUCUUAAAGAUUCAUAUUUCACUCGGGAUUCAGACAAGUUACUUUUUUCUCCUAACUCAAUUAAUUCCUCUCUAGGGAAGCAUUUUCCUCAAGAUAGUGAGUAUUGUAAAGAUCAUUCAACCACACCAGCUUUUUGGGAAGAUAUAAUUGUGGAUGAUAUGCUAAAUAAAGACUUUGAUCAACAACAGUUCUGCAAAGGCACUAACAAUUUAGCAUCCGGGCAUCAUUCACCUCAUUAUCUUCAGAAUCCAAACCAAUCAAACCAUGAACUGAAGCAUCAAAAUCAAAUUUGUAACCAGAAUCAUUUAAGGAAACCUUCUGAAACUUUUACUGAACCCUUGGGGGCAAGAUUUGAGAAGGUUGUGGAGAGAGAGGACACUGGUUUAGAUGUUGAUAACAAGGUUGCUUCAGACAUCGGAGAAAACAACAUUAUAUCUAACAUUUUGUCUUUGGAACUAGAUGCAUGGGAAGAUUCACUAGUUAAGUUGUUGGAUGAAACUGAUACAGCCUUCAAAGCACCUGCUUUGCGGAAAAUCCAAGACAAGAAUCAGUCCAGGUUUUCCUUUGCCAGACAAGAUGAUUCCUUGAAUAAGACAUCUGUUUUGCAGCAAUCUGGGAUCCCAAACAAUUAAGCAGCGGAAAAUCCAAGACAAGAAUCAGUCCAGGUUUUCCUUUGCCAGACAAGAUGAUUCCUUGAAUAAGACAUCUGUUUUGCAGCAAUCUGGGAUCCCAAACAAUUAAGCCUAAUACGGAACUCUCAUUGGCUGCAAAAGAAGGUCUUGGACUUAGCAUUGGAGGUGAUGUUAGCAAACAAAUUGUUCAACACACGCGUAAAUAAGAAAGUCCCGUAGUUUCUGGAAGUACUAGCUUAUCUUUAAGCAUUAAGGAGCAUUUGUUUACAUCUGUUACAAGUCCGAAAAUUAACAAGAUGAAUCCUGAUCUUGAUAAAGGAGAACCUGUCUCACUGGAAUUAUCUUUAAGCAAGGAGGAAUGCAGUACUCAUGGUUCAAAUACUGAUGCUAAAAGUGAUAAUGACACUACUCGUGUUAAUAGCAGGGCUAACUGGGAUCUGAAUACUACAAUGGAUGCAUGGGAUGAAGGGAGUGAUGCCAGUUCUGUUAAAACUUCUAUUGAUGGGCUAAACAUUACUCACAGUGCACACGAUGAGAAACAGUUAAUGAGCACUAGGAUUCCAAAGGUACAACAACUUGUGAAUGAUUUCUUUGAAGGAAAGGAACCAAACAAGGGUGUUAACCCUGUUAAAGCAGUUGACGUAGCUAAUGGUCAUCUAGUAUGUGGAUGUGGAAAUAUAUCCUCCCGCAAUAACAAUGCGGAAACUCCUCACCAGGAGGCUCGUGUUAUGUCUGCUAUUCUUCUCCGGAAGCAACUCACUCGCGAUGAUUCAUUUCUUUGGCCGCAUCUUUCGCCUCAAACUCAUUCUUCUCUCAAAUCGCUUCUUCUUUCUUCAAUUCAAACCGAAAACUCCAAAUCGAUUUCUAAGAAGCUUUGUGACACAAUCUUUUUGAACUUGCUUCUGUACAUCGGUGAUUCUCCCACGCCGCAUAUCAAACACCUUCAUGAUAUCUUUCUUCAGUGUCUUACUUCCUCUACUGUUAAUCCCGAUGUUCGAAUUACUGCUCUUAAUGCUGUUAUCAAUUUCAUUCAGUGUCUGUCUGGUUCCGCCGAACGAGAUAGGUUUCAGGACUUGCUGCCGGCUAUGAUGACAACUUUGACCGAGGCGCUUAAUUCUGGCCAAGAGGCCACCGCACAGGAGGCUCUUGAGUCGCUUAUUGAACUUUCCGGGACUGAACCUAGGUUUCUCCAAAGGCAGAUUGUUGAUGUUGUUGGGGCAAUGCUUCAAAUUGCUGACGCAGAGUCCUUGAAGGAAGGAACUAGGCAUUUGGCUAUUGAGUUUGUGAUUACUCUUGCUGAAGCUAGAGAGCAUGCUCCUGGUAUGAUGAGGAAGAUGCCACAAUUUAUUAGCAGGUUGAUUGCUAUUCUUAUGAAGAUGCUUCUAGAUAUUGAAGAUGAUCCAGCUUGGCACACUGCGGAGACUGAAGACGAGGACGCCGGUGAAAGUAGCAAUUGUAGUGUUGAACAGGAAUGUUUGGAUAUGUUAUCUAUAUCUUUGGGAGGAAAUACGAUUGUUCCUAUUGCCUCUGAACAAUUGCCUGCAUACAUGGCUGCACCCGAGUGGCAAAAUUGCCAUGCUGCAUUGAUUGCACUUGCUCAGAUAGCUGAAGGAUGCUCCAAGGUCAUGGUAAAAAAAUUUGGAGCAAGUGGUGGCUAUGGUAUUGAACUUGUUUCCCGAUCAACAUCCCCGUGUGAGGGAGUGUUGCCAGCCCUAGCUGCCGCCAUGGUUGAUUUUCAGAACCCUCAUGUACAGGCUCAUGCUGCCUCAGCAGUACUCAACUUCAGUGAGAAUUGUACACCUGAUAUUUUAACGCCAUACUUGGAUGGAAUAGUUAGCAAAUUGCUUGUACUUCUUCAGAAUGGUAAACAAAUGAUUUGCCUUCUCAUAAUGGUUUUGAACAUGUCCAUGCUGCACUAUCCGCUCCAUUGCUUGCUGAAGUAGUAGACAGGAUGCCCAUUUUGUAUCAAUAUUACACACACUCCAUUUCUUCAAGUGUGUUGAGAAAUUUCACUGCAGUAAAAAAUCACAAUAACUCAGUAAGGCAGUAAAAGUUCACAAGCAACAAAAAUGAAACAUUUUCACAGAAGAAGUACAAGGUACAUGUUACCUUUUUCAGAAUAAGCACCAAAACAGGGUAGACAAACUAACGGCACCAAAAGCACUUCUAAGUCCGACUCCUUUUGAUCUCAGCUGCCAAUUCAAAACCCUAGCAGUGGGACUAUAAGAGGAGACGUUACUGUUCACUAAGAAGGAAGAAGAGCCGAAAAACCCUAAUUCCUUAGAGUAGCCGCCACUGAUCACUAACAAGGAAGGGAGAAUUCUGCAAAAACACAAAGAGCCGACUGUUCACACAAAUAAAAUCCUACCGUUGAACCACCCACUCCAAAUCUCAUUUUUCCCAACAACCAUCGCAUCUUCCAAAAUAAAAUCCUACCGUUGAACCACCCACUCCAAAUCUCAUUUUUCCCAACAACCAUCGCAUCUUCCACCUUGGCUCUCAUUAUAUCCAAACAUAACCACCAUUACCGCCGUCAUCUUCUACAACAUUAUGACCUCUUCGAUGACAUGGAUCAGCUAGUCUGUUGUUAGGUAACAGCAAUACAAAAACUGGAGUUGCCAUUCAUCUCACUCGUUGAAGACUUUGGUGCUCGAAAAGAUAACAAGCUGCAACAAUAGGGACGUCACUAUAACCACCACCACGAUAUAACCAUUUUCGACGCGGUCCAAGAAUCUAGCAUCAACAUCACACAACAUCGUCAGUCGACAUCAGGUGCAUCCAUAGCUGACUUGCUUAGGAAAGAAAUAUAUCGAAAAUGAAAGGAGUUUGAGUUCCGGUUACUUUUUUUGUUGAUUGAUGUUGUUCGGACAUAGUUGCAUUGCAUGAGAGAUGAUGUACGGUUCACGGUCCAUGGAAGGAUUUUUUUUUUAUUGCAGAAGGUUAAAUCCAUUUGUUUCUUGUAGCAGGUGUGCAUUAAAAUGAAUAUGUUUAAAAGGACCUAUUACUGUUUUAAUUUUGUGUUUUAUUUAAAAGGGUUUGGUCCGUUUUUUUUAUGUUAUGUAUUAGUGCUUAAGACUAUAUGAUAAGGAUGCCUGUUUGGAGGAGUUGGUAAAAGGAUGCUUUAACAAGCUCCUAGUCCUGGGUUGAAUUCCCAUAUGUGUCAUAUUUGAUUUUUUGCAAAACUUUAAUUUCUAUUUCACAUUUUUGUUUUAAUCCCCUCAUAAUGUUUACCCUUUUAUUUUAUUUUAAUUGUUAAACAUCGAUUUUAAUUUUAAUUUAUGUGAUUCAACAAUUUCCAUGUUGUUUAUCUAAGAUUAUUUUUUAUCGAUACAUCAGAUAGUAUUUCGCGCGUUUUGACUUAAUCGCAUAUGACAUUUCAUUAUUGUCACAUGCGCAACCGGCUUUGAGCACAUUUUUAGGCUUGUGUUGUCCCUCAAUUUUUAUCCCGUGCGCGUCCGAUGUUGUUUCUUUCAAUUUAAUUUUUAAGGUCUUGUUAAUUAUUUUGUAUUUGUUGUUUUCUUCUAGGUAUCUUAUCGGCUUCCCUCGCGGGUCAGUUCUCUUGCACUUUCACUCAUACAUUGAUUAUUGUUGUUUGGGCCCGAUUUAAUUAUUCCAGUACUUUGAAUCCCCAUUCGAUAAAAUGUACCCCCAUUCCCUUGGCAUGUAAUAAUUUUACUGUUUUAUUUCUUUAUUGUUUGGCUGUGUAGUUAGCUACAAACACAAGAAUAAAAUCAACCAUUUCCAAAAGAUCAAAAAUAAUGACUCGAUCCAACGUCGAGUAUUUUCUCAAUAAACAAAUCAAUCCAUUUCUUCUUCCCAUUCUAUUCCAUUUCUCUCAAACUUUCAUCAAACGCUUGAUCCAACGUUAAGUCAUUUUUAUAAUAAAAACUCAAAAAAAUAUUAAUUCAUAUUUAAGACCUUUUCAAUAAAGAUGGAAAUGGAGCGUGGUGUAUACCGCGCACUCCUGAGACUAGGAUUCGAGAUGGAUAUCUCGCUCAUCCUAGUUCUCGCCGUCAUCCAAAUUCAUCCACUUUGUUUUAUCUCAAACACUCAUUCAAAUCUUUCUCGAUCGCUCAUCAAAUGCUUGAUCUAAUGUCAAGUCAUUUUCACAACAAAACUCAAAAUACUUAAUUCCUAUCUAAACACCUUUCAAUAAAGAUGGAAAUGGAACAUGGUGGAUACCAUGCACUCCUGAGAUUAAGAUUCGAGGCGGAUGCCUCGCCUAUCUUAGCUCUCGCCAUCAUUUAAAAUUGUCAAUGCGGUUUCUUUAAACCCUUUCUCAAUCAAACCUCAAAAAACACUUAAUGAACAUUUUUGCAAAUAAGAUGGAAAUGGAACGUGGUGUAUACCACGCACUCCUGAGACUAGGAUUCGAGAUGGAUAUCUCGCUCAUCCAAGUUCUCGCCAUUACUCAAAACACAUCAAACCAAUCAAUUUCUUUUUCUCGCCGCCGUGCGAUUAACCCUUCAAACCUUUUCUCAAACGAAAGGUACUUUGUUUCAAAAUAAUGCAAGGCAAUGUUUUUCCACCUGUUUUGGGUAGUCCAAUAAUGUUUUCGACGAUUUGACACAAAGUAGCUUUCGCUAAAAUCGACCAACAAACAAACAUUUUUCUACCCAGAACUACGUAAGCCUUGAUUUCUCUGUUGAGAUACGUAGGAGCAGGAUUUGUAAAUUUUGUCAGACCCACUAAUAAAAAACUUAGGUUUAGUCCUUCGUCAAAAAUCCAAAAAUAUUCUCCUCUCAUCCUUUCUUCUAUUCUUUCUUUCCCGCUUAAUAAUUUGAAAAGCCUAACAUGUCAAACUAACACUAAUGCACACAACUAACCUAAUGGUUCCCGUUGAGUACAACGGACGUGAGGGGUGCUAAUACCUUCACCUCGCGUAAUCGACUCUCGAACCCUAAUUUGGUUGCGACGACCAUAAUCAUUGUCGUUCUUUCUUGGGUUUUAUCGAUAUUUCCCCUUUCCUUUUUAGGAAUAAAUAAAGUUUGGUGGCGACUCUGUUCAGUCCAACAUUGCGAGCGUGCGAUUGCACUUCGCUUAAAGUCGUAUCCCCAUUUUUAAUUGAGGUACGACAGAUGGCGACUCUGCUGGGGACAGACCGUUCCCUAAGUGAGUUAAGCCUAGUUAGGACGUUUGUGUGCUUUUGUUUGUUUAAUUGUGUGGCUUUUCCUUAUUUAUUGCUUUUUAUUAUCUUUUAUUGUUAUAUUGAUAUAUCUGUUGUAUAUUGGUUCUAUUGUGAUUGUUGGUAUUUGGGUAUUUGAUUGCUAACCAUGUGGGAAAGACUCUACACCCGAGUCUAGAGUGAAAAAACAUAAGAUAGGACGAUGGUUGAGUAGUACGGACUCCCGAGGUGAAUACUUCAUAAGAGUCGGUACGAGAACCUCACUUAGAGUAGAUCCUUUUGCAGAUAUUGUCGCCCGAGGUGUAUACCUCGUAAGCUUCAAUGUUUCAAAGGGGCCCGUGACUCUAAGAACCUUUUAGAACAUUGAACCUUUGGCCAACUAGAAAUGAUGGUUGCGUAGUAUGGAUUACCGAGGUGAAUACUUCGUAAGAAUCGAUACGAGAACCUCGCUCAGAAUAGAUUCUCUAGAUGGAGUUGACGAUCGGAAAGUAUUUUCCGUAAGCGUCAAACAUUCUUUUAGAACAAGGAACCAUGUCUCAAGAGAUGAUGGACGAGAUAAGGAAAGGUCAAGAAGCAUUGAAGGAGGAACUCAAUCUUUUGAAGAGCCAAAUGGGAUGGGUCGUGGAAACCUUGCAAGCCUUAUUGAGAAAGGAGGGUCAUCCCAUACCCAUUGCUACAACAGAGGGAGCUACUACUCCACAUCCAUCUGGUGUUACCCCAAGUCAAGGGAAAUUCUAUAUGGCAACUCCUCACCUACCAGCAUAUGGACCUCCCUUAGGAUUGUCCAUCAUCAACAUCCUCUGACUAUUCCUCCUCAAAAUCACCAAAGUCAUGUUCAAAGCAAAAUCAGAAUCAGAACAAGGGAACAAAAAUCACACGACCCGAUUCCGGUGCCAUAUAGCAAGCUCUACCCACAACUGAUCCAGAAUGCUUUGUGACCCCUCGAGCUCUCACACCUGCGUCACCAUACCUGCCAUGGUACAAUCCAAAUGCAACAUGUGAAUUCCAUAAAGGGGCAGUGGGACAUGACUAGAUUCUUGCUUAACGCUGAAAGCCUUGGUACGAGAGCUGAUUAACAAAAAGAGCUUAGUCUUUGAAGAAGAUCACCCGAAGGUCAACGUGCGAAUACCAUACCUGGAACAAUGGGCACUCCUCGAGGAAUGCAAGAGUUUUAAGUUCAGCUGCAAAGAUUGGUUGACAUUAGGUCACCAACACUCAAGGAGGAAAGCUCAGGUACAUACAUCUUUGAUUUCUGGGCCAAGUAGCGAGAAAGGAAAAGGACCUCAGAAACCCCUCAAGGUUUUGUACCAUAAGGAAGAAGUCAGGGAGGUGGCUAAUGAGAUAUCAUCGUUUCCCGAUAAGUGAAUUGAGAUACACCUUGGAUUUCUAAUGUCACGACCCAUGGCAACGGAAGCAAAGGAGAAGUGAGUAGUGGAUCCAAGAGGGUUGCAUCCAACGAUCAGAUUGAAGGAAAAGAAUUUGAAGAUCGUCGUGCCAAUAUCAAAAAGUUUCUUGAUCCCAACCUUCAAGUGGCUGAAUAUGAGCAAUUAGCAAUGCCCGAAGUGUCGUACCAGCAAACGCUACCUUUUGGUCUUCAUUACAAACAAUCCUUGUUUGCUCCUCAUCCAAAUCAACAAGCCCAAGGCCCGAGAUAUCAAAAUCAGCAUAGGCCUCAAAAUAACUUGGAAAGAAGAAAUGAUCCUCAUCAUCCAAUCCUCAUGACAUAUAGCCAACUCCUACAACCUCUGAUUCAAAACUCGUUGGUGGUUCCCAAGUCUCUUAAGCCGGUUCCACAACCUUACCCACCCGGGUAUGACCCAAAUGUGAAAUGUGGAUAUCAUGCCAGAUCAGAAGGGCACUCAACUGAAGACUGCAACGCUUUCAAAGCCAAAGUACAACCGUGAUUGACAACAGGUACAUAGCCUUUCAAGAAGGAAGUUUGGUGGUAAAUGUUAACCUAUCAGCCGAAUAAGUGCGAAGAUCUCAAGGGGUGUCCCCUGAAGUUAAUGGAUCAAGUUUGAAGAAGUCAUUCCCUAAAACUGGCAAUCAUUUGGCUUUUUCGGCAUUUCUUUUGUAGUUUCCUUGCAUGUUGAUUGUUAAUUGCUUUUAAGCAUUGUUGUUUUCUUUGAAUUGGUAAGAUUAAUGAAAUGUUUAUGCAUCUUUUGAAAUUAAUCAUCGUAUUCACUCGUUUUUCAUUCAUGUUAAACAACAAAAACACCCCUCUAUUCACUUGUGUUUAUCAAACCGUUGUGUUACAAAGAUUGCAAGGAGGAUGAGAUGAAAACGAAACACCUGAAAUUGUUGUGGUAUGCUUUUGAGUAAAACCUUGUCGAUGAUGUAAGGCAUUGUUUCAAAUCCCCAAACACUGAAGAGAUAAGGAGUUAAUCCCUAGUCAACCACUUUGAGCCUAGAAAUUGGUGUUUAUUUCGGAUCUAAAACCCUUAAUCUUAACCUGGGGCAGGGUAGUUAUGUUCAGAUAGUUUGAUCGUGCAUUCGAUCUUUCAAAAAUCGUCCAUAUGUACAUCCUCCAAUUAGGUUUAACCACACGUUAUCCUUCGCGCAUAUGUUUAAGUGUCGAAGAAGUUGAGAAAAGCUAAAAUUAGUGUUGGUUGAUCCUUAUCCACCAAUAAUAUGGCAGUCAACACCUUUUAAAAAAAAGAUUGAAAAAAGCUCGCUAAGUCAAAUAUGACUUAGGCAAAAGUUAGGGCAUCUCGAUGGACCGAAAGCUUCAAAGAUGCGGUCCAGGAAAAAUUAGGGAUAAAGAAAAUCAAUCAAAAGAGGUCAUUAAAUCCUCAACAACAACAAAAUAAGGUGACUGCCAUUGCAAGAAAAUCUCACCUUGAACCCUCAUUUCCACUUUCGCACCUUCGAGAUCGAAUGCGUGUAUUGAAUUAACUGAAUAUAGGAACUGGAGAUCAUCAAGAAGAAGGGGUGGGUAAAAAUAAAUUUUGAGCCUUAUAUCCUUUUGUUUAAAAAACCGUGAACCAAGCCACGUUACAAUCCUUAAAAGACCUAAUUGAGGCAGAGUUUAUUCUGAAAGCAUACUACAACAAGGUUGUGUUAACUUGACUCCAAAUGAUUUUUGUUAACCAUUUGAUGACACAGACUUACAUGUUGUGAAUGACUUGCUCAUCAUUGUGUUGUUAUUAAUGACUCGUUCACUGUAUUUCACCCGUUAAUAUCAAUAAACUCUGAUUUCAAAUUUUUGCAUAAGCACCGCAUUAAAAUUACCAUUUUUGAAUGCACAAUCUUAUUUGUGAGUCAACACUUAGCAUUAAAGAAAUUCCAACAAUAUACAAUUGAGGAAUUUGAUAAGGUGAAAGAAGUCCAGUCAUGGGAAAAUCACUUUGAGUAUCAUUCAAUCCGAUCCAAUCACCCCAAGGGUCUCUUAGCAAAAAGUGAUUUGCUUUAAGACACAGACCGGGGAAAGCCACCUCAGAAGCUCAUUGAGUCCAACUAUCCAAAGACAGUCAAUCAGAAGUCUACCAUUCCAGGUUUUGGUGAAUUAGGGUCAGGUCAUUGCGGUAUGCAAACAUUGGGGCAAGCCAUCUCGAGAUCGUCUCAUGUCAAGUUGUUCCAAACUCACUUUCAAGGUGAACAUCUUCAAAGACCCAACAGACUGGGGCAAGAGGAGCCACAGAGGGGAAGAAUCCCUCUUCAUAUUUUCAAAUUACUCAAACAAAUUAUGCUAGCAUGAUUCAUUAAUCCUCCAAAAGAGUCCCAUUGGCUAUGUUGUGGCUAUCAAACUUGAUAGAAUUCUCCUUUGACAACAUCUAUCACAAAAUAUUUGGUUGAGUUCUCGAUGUUAAGGAAUCAUGAUAUCCAUAAAAAGCCUCUGCAACUCCCAGUCCACUCAAGUGUCAGCAUUCUCAUAAUCAUGAUCAUUCAUAUAUCAUGCAUAAAAGAAUUCAAAUCUACGUAUCGGCUUUACAUGAAGCACGAGUAAAACGUAACUGGGUGGUCUUGUUGUUGAUCCUAUAUUCUUUGACCUCUAAUUCUAGUUUUUCUUUGGUGCCCUUAAACCAUCAUUCGGUUUCCGUAGUCAUUUUCAAAUCCAACUCAGUUGGCACCUAUCAAAAAAAAAUUUCAAGAGGUUCAUUUCCUUUUUGGAUUAUCCGAUGAAUUUCCGGAUUACUCCUUGGUUUAUUGAUGUAUUUCCAUAACUUGUCUGAUGUGUUUCCAGAUGUUUCCUCACCUAUCUGAUGUACGCUCAAAUAUGUUUGGCUUGUAUUCUGAUGUAUUUCCAGAAUUUCCUCGGCAUAUUAUCGGAUAUGUCUAUAUUCUGAUGUAUCUCCAGAAUAUCACUUGUAAUUCUGAUGCAUUUCCAGAAUUCGUUUGUUUUACUCUCCGAUGAAUUCCCGAACAUGUCAUUUUUGUUCGGACUCACUUCUAGAACCCAUAUGCCAUCACCUAGCACUAUUUUAAGGCUCAUUGGUGUCUCAUAAAAUUCAGCUGUCACUAGCAUUAUUCCAAGCUCAGUCGUUACUAAAACUCAUUUUGAACCCAAUUGUCGUUGGCAUCACUGUUAGUCUGUUUGUAAAUACAUUUGUGAUUGAAAUCUGAAGUUGGUUGUCGCCAACAUCAUUUCAAGUCUAGUUGUUGCUGGAAAAACUCCGUUGUAGCCGGUAAUUGUUUACUAAUGACUUUCAUCAAGUCCAAUUGUUGUUGGCACGUACAGAGAGUUUGAGUACCCUGUCUCUCCUGAUGGUUCCGUGAAAGUCAUGUAUGACUCAUCAUCUUGAGGAGUUCCAAGAAGCUUGGAGGUUUUUUUUCAUGUUAGAAAACUCCAAUGAUAUUGGUUUUGUUUGAUUUCUCUGUAAAGAAUCACCGUAGCCUUUUGCGUGGAUGAUCUACUUAUAAGAAGACUCCCGUUUAUCUUUGUUUUGCAUAAAUUCCCUGUUAGGAAUCUCCAAGAUCUGUGAUUGGAUGAAUUUCUUGUGAGAAAUCUCCAGAACUAUCAGAUGUUUUCUAAAGUGCCAGGUCAUGUAUGAACCUAUUGAUGAAACUUGCCUUGUAUGUUUUCCAAUAUUCUCAGGUCAUGUAUGAACCUAUUGAUAAAACUCCCUUUGAUUUUUCCCAAGUGUUGCCAGGUCAUGUAUGAACCUAUUGAUAAAACUCUCUUUGAUUUUUCCCAAGUGUUGUCAGGUCAUGUAUGAACCUGCUAUUGAGCACUCUUUAAAUAGUCAAGUGUUGUCAGGUCAUGUAUGAACCUGUUGUUGAAAAUUCUUUGAAUGUUCCUGUUUUGUCAGGUCAUGUAUGAACUUGUUAAUUGAAAUUCUUUGAAUAGUCAAGUGUUGUCAGGUCAUGUAUGAACCUGUUGUUGAAUAUUCAUUGAAUGUUCCUAUUUUGUCAGGUCAUGUAUGAACCUGUUAAUUGAAAUUCUUUGAAUAGUCAAGUGUUGUCAGGUCAUGUAUGAACCUGUUGUUGAAAAUUCAUUGAAUGUUCCUGUUUUGUCAGGUCAUGUAUGAACCUGUUAAUUGGAAUUCUUUGAAUAGUCAAGUGUUGUCAGGUCAUGUAUGAACCUGUUGCAGAAAAUUCUUUGAAUGUUCCAGCAUUGUCAGGUCAUGUAUGAACCUGCUGUUGAGCUUUUAUUCCAGUAUUACCAGGUCAUGUCUGAACCUGUUUUGAAGAAUCUUUCUCUUUGAUUAUUCUAGUGUCGUCAAGUCAUGUAUGAACUUGUUGCGGAAAUUUUCUCAAAAUGUUCAAGUUUGUCAUCAGGUCAUGUAUGAACCUGUUGAUAUACUCUUUUUGAAUUUUUCUGAGUUUGUUAGGUCAUGUCUGAGCCUGCUGUCAGAACUUCUUAAUAUUCCCCAUCAUUGUCAGGUCAUGUAUGAACCCGUUGCUGUCGAGCCUUUAUUCCAGUGUCGUCAAGUCAUGUAUGAACUUGUUCUGGAAAUUUUCUCAAAAUAUUCAAGUUUGUCAUCAGGUCAUGUAUGAACCUGUUGAUAUACUCUUUUUGAAUGUUCCUGUUUUGCCAGGUCAUGUAUGAACCUGCUGUCAGAACUUCUUAAUAUUCCCCAGCAUUGUCUGGUCAUGUAUGAACCUGUUGCUGAACCUUUUGUUCCAAUGUUGUCAAGUCAUGUAUGAACUUGUUGUGGAAAUUUUCUCAAAAUGUUAAAGUUUGUCAUCAGGUCAUGUAUGAACCUGUUGAUAUACUCUUUUUGAAUUUUUCUGAGUUUGUUAAGUCAUGUUUGAACUUGCUGUCAGAAAAUUCUUUGAAUGUUCCAACAUUGUCAGGUCAUGUAUGAAUCCGUUGUUGUUGAGCCUUUAUUCCAGUAUUACCAGGUCAUGUUUGAACCUGUUUUGAAGAAUCUUUUUCUUUGAUUAUUCAAGUGUUGUCAGGUCAUGUAUGAACCUGUUGCUGAACCUUUUGUUCCAAUGUUGUCAAGUCAUGUAUUAACUUGUUGUGGAAAUUUUCUCAAAAUGUUCAAGUUGGUCAUCAGGUCAUGUAUGAACCUAUUGAUAUACUCUUUUUGAAUUUUUUUGAGUUUGUUAGGUCAUGUCUGAACCUGAUGUCAGAACUUCUUGAUAUUCCCCAACAUUGUCAAGUCAUGUCUGAACCUGUUGUUGAGCUUUCAUUCCAGUAUUACCAGGUCAUGUAUGAACCUGUUUUGAAAAAUCUUUCUCUAUGAUUGUUUCAGUGUUAUCAGGUCAUGUAUGAACCUGUUGUAGAAAUUUUUCUCAUUCGGGUCUAGUAAGUCAUGUGUGAACUUACUGCCGAAAUCUCUUGUAUUCUAAGUGUCGUUCAUCGAAUUUCACUUUGAGUACUCUCUAGUGUGUGUCUGAUUCUCUAGCAGGAUUGUUUUCCCCAACGAGUUUGUCUUACCCUUUUGUCUGUUUCCCUGUGGACCAUCGGUAUUCCCCACAGAUUGGUCUGUCUAGUAGAAUCUCCGUAUCCCUAACAGAUAAAUUCAAAAAAAUAAAGAGUCUUGCAUCCAUGCAUAUCAUAUCAUAGCUUUUUCAUUUUUCAGGUUCAAAAUCUGGGUCUCCAUGGUAUUUAACCAUCCCCCACUGCGAUCCGAUGAAAAAUGUUGUUUCAUUUUCCUCUGGUGGAGGAUGUUUAAAUAGGGGCAACUGUCAUACCCGGAUUUUGGCCCUGGAAUAUUUCUUCAAUCACUCGUUUGCAUUCUUUCUUCAUGACCAUUCCAUCUGGUCAUGAUACUAUAAAAAAUGUUUGUUGUUGGACUCGCUACCACGACCAGUCCAUGUUUGUCUUUUGGGUUUUAUUUCUUGAUUUUUGGUAUAAGAUAAUUAAUCUCCUUAGUCAUGCGAGAUUUGAAAACUUUUUCAUUUGUUAGAAUCAAGUGAACCUCAUGUUUCAUCUUUCGUUCCAAUUUCAUCAAGGUGAUUAUUCAUUUGUCAUUUGUCUUAUUACCAGUUUCAUCCCCCUUUCGAGUAAAUCAUGUGUCAAAGUGCAAAAUAUUUUAUUUUGGGUCAUCAUGCAUAGUCAUUUUCUCAUUCAUUCAUAAUUCAAAGAAAUUCCAUACAUAUCUCUUCAUUCACAUUUAUAUUCUCCAUUUCACAUUCAAGAUUCUACAUUUCAUAUUCAAAAGUUUCAUUACAUUGGAAUUUUUUUCAUUCAUAUUCAAGAAUUUCCACAUACUCAUUCAUAGUUCGAUCACUUCGUUCAUUCAUUCAAUCAUAAUCAUCCAUGUACAUGGCAUAUGAAUAACUUAUAAUCAAAAAGCAUCUCAUCACAUGAAUACUUGAAGUUUCUAAGAUGUAAAGAGAGAUCUUUGUCUUGCUACAAGAAACACCGAUUUUCAUUCAUUGCAAAUCAUAAGAUUAUCCAAAAAAAAACAUACAUAAUUUACAAAAAUUGGCAUUUGGACCAAAUCCAACCAUCACCUUUCCCAUCCUGAAGAAAUUCACUCUCGUAACCAUCACUUUGCUGAUUUUCAUAUGAUUCCU